AUGUGAGUGGAGACAGAGAAUAUGGCAGCAAAGUAGUAGAUCUCAAAAUCACUGAGUGGAGUUCUGUCUCAGAUCCAUCUGAUUCAUCAGGUCCAUGGAAGGCUCUUUUCUUCACCGUUCUCAUUGUUCUCAUUUUGAUUCUGAGUUUGGGUGGGUGCCUCUACAAAUACAGAGACAAUCUAACAGGGAAGAAACCACCCAGAGCAAGUAAGUAACAUGAACUUAUUUAUGAAUCUGAU